rnacentral:rRNA from 1 species
GGGUACUCGAGUGGCGAACGGGUGAGUAACACGUGAGUAACCUGCCCUUGACUUCGGGAUAACUUCAGGAAACUGGGGCUAAUACCGGAUAGGAAUCCUUGCUGCAUGGUGGGGGUUGGAAAGCUUCGGCGGUUUUGGAUGGACUCGCGGCUUAUCAGCUUGUUGGUGGGGUAGUGGCUUACCAAGGCUUUGACGGGUAGCCGGCCUGAGAGGGCGACCGGCCACAUUGGGACUGAGAUACGGCCCAGACUCCUACGGGAGGCAGCAGUGGGGAAUAUUGCACAAUGGGCGGAAGCCUGAUGCAGCAACGCCGCGUGCGGGAUGACGGCCUUCGGGUUGUAAACCGCUUUCAGCAGGGGCGAAGCUUGUGGUGACGGUACCUGCAGAAGAAGCACCGGCUAAU